CAAUAGCGUAUAUUUAAGUUGUUGCAGUUAAAAAGCUCGUAGUUGGAUUUCGGAUGGGACUUGCCGGUCCGUCGUUUCGAUGUGCACUGGCCAGUCCUAUCUUGUUGUCGGGGACUAGCUCCUGGGCUUCACUGUCCGGGACUAGGAGCUGACGAGGUUACUUUGAGUAAAUUAGAGUGUUCAAAGCAAGCCUACGCUCUGAAUACAUUAGCAUGGAAUAACACGAUAGGACUCUGGCUUAUCUUGUUGGUCUGUGAGACCAGAGUAAUGAUUAAGAGGGACAGUCGGGGGCAUUCGUAUUUCAUUGUCAGAGGUGAAAUUCUUGGAUAUAUGAAAGACGAACUUCUGCGAAAGCAUUUGUCAAGGAUGUUUUCAUUAA
rnacentral:rRNA from 1 species